rnacentral:rRNA from 1 species
AUGCCGCGUGCGCUUGGUGGGAAGGGGAGGGGGAGGAUCGGGGCUCCGACGAGGCCCAUCGCGGCGAUCCCCGUCGCCGACGGCGGCAACCGGCGGAUGGCGUUCGAGGUGCGCAAGGCGGGGCUGAUGAGGAAGGCGAAGGAGCUCGCGGAGAUGGCCGACGCGCCCGUCGCGGUGCUCUGCUCGGGCCUCGACGGCCAGGGCGCCCUGCAGUGCUGGCCGUCGACGGAGACGGCGAGGGCGGUGGUGGGCCGGUUCCUCGCGCUCCCGAAGGAGGCCCGGAUCGUGUUCGAUCACGCCAACUACGUCGCGGGCGUGCGCGACGUGCAGGGGUCCAGGCUGGCCAGGGUGCGGACGGGCGGCCUCGCCGCCGCGCUCGCGCCGUGGGAGAGCCCGCUCGACGGGAUGCCGGAGGACGCGCUCCGGGAGCUGCUAGGUUCCGUCGGCAAGUCCCUCGAUGCCACACGGAGCAGGAUCCGGAGGCUGCAGACCCGGCGUCGCGAGAGCGUGGCGGAGAACUUCGUGGUGGCGGGGGAGGGCCACGCGAGCGGCGAGGUGCUGGGGACGCGGAGGCAGCCACGGGACGCCGCCACGGCCCCCGGUGCUGCGCGGAAGAAGCAGCUGGUGGAGAAGCCCGCCGCCACCGACGGCGCUGCGCGGAUGAAGCAGCCGCUGGAGGGUCCCAAGGAGAAGCCCGUGCGCGCCGCCCCGUUCGACCCCGGGAUGAUCGAGUACUACAUCAACGUGGGCGGGUACGUGAUGGAGCGCGACGCCUACGACUUCAUCCGGUACGACCUCGGGAUGCUCCCGCCCAGCCUCGAGCCCGAGCCGCCGGAGCCGGACUACGACGAGCCGCUGCGUCUGUGGUCGUGGGACGACUCCUCCUUCCCGCAGAGCGCGCCGCCGCCCAAGUGA